rnacentral:misc_RNA from 1 species
GAUGAAGAACGUAGCGAAAUGCGAUACGUAAUGUGAAUUGCAGAAUUCAGUGAAUCAUCGAAUCUUUGAACGCAUAUUGCGCUCUCUGGUAUUCCGGAGAGCAUGCUUGUUUGAGUAUCAGUAAACACCUCAACUCCCCUUUCUUUUUUUGAAAUGGGAGCUGGACUUGAGUGAUCCCAACGCUUUUCUCACCGAAAAGUGGCGGGUUACUUGAAAUGCAGGUGCAGCUGGACUUUUCUCUGAGCUAAAAGCAUAUCUAUUUAGUCUGCCUAAAAAACAGAUUAUUACCUUUGCUGCAGCUAACAUAAAGGAGAUUAGUUCUUGUGCUGACUGAUGCAGGAUUCACAGAGACAGCUUCGGCUGGCCUUUGUAAACUCGAUCUCAAAUCAAGUAAGACUACCCGCUGAACUUAAGCAUAUCAAUAAGCCGAGGA